UAAGUAGAAGUUUAAAGGUUUAAACGUUUAAUUGUUAAUUAAUUGGUAGUGAGAUCGAAGCUUACCUACUUA
rnacentral:tRNA from 1 species